GACAGAGGGUGCAAACGUUGUUCGGAAUUACUGGGCGUAAAGCGUGUGUAGGCGGCUUUGCAAGUCGGAUGUGAAAGCCCCGGGCUCAACCCGGGAAGUGCACUCGAUACUGCGAAGCUUGAGUGUCGGAGAGGUUGGUGGAAUUCUCGGUGUAGAGGUGAAAUUCGUAGAUAUCGAGAGGAACACCGGUGGCGAAGGCGGCCAACUGGACGAACACUGACGCUGAGACACGAAAGCGUGGGGAGCAGACAGG
rnacentral:rRNA from 1 species